UACAUUAGCAUGGGAUAAUGGAAUAGGACCCUGACCUCCUAUUUUCAGUUGGUUUUGUUUACAGCGAGGUUAUAUCAGGGUAAUGAUUAAUAGGGAUAGUUGGGGGCAUUAAUAUUUAAUUGUCAGAGGUGAAAUUCUUGGAUUUAUGAAAGAUUAACUUCUGCGAAAGCGUUUGCCAAGGAUGUUUUCAUUAAUCAAGAACGAAAGUUAGGGGAUCGAAGACGAUCAGAUACCGUCGUAGUCUUAACCAUAAACGAUGCCGACCAGCGAUUAGGAGACGUUGAAUACAAAACACCGCUGUUAAUCCUUUCGGGGGUUAAUAGUUGGUGAAUGACUCCCUAGCGCCUUGUGAGA
rnacentral:rRNA from 1 species